GAUGAACGCUAGCUACAGGCUUAACACAUGCAAGUCGAGGGGCAGCAUGGUCUUAGCUUGCUAAGGCCGAUGGCGACCGGCGCACGGGUGAGUAACACGUAUCCAACCUGCCGUCUACUCUUGGACAGCCUUCUGAAAGGAAGAUUAAUACAAGAUGGCAUCAUGAGUCCGCAUGUUCACAUGAUUAAAGGUAUUCCGGUAGACGAUGGGGAUGCGUUCCAUUAGAUAGUAGGCGGGGUAACGGCCCACCUAGUCUUCGAUGGAUAGGGGUUCUGAGAGGAAGGUCCCCCACAUUGGAACUGAGACACGGUCCAAACUCCUACGGGAGGCAGCAGUGAGGAAUAUUGGUCAAUGGGCGAGAGCCUGAACCAGCCAAGUAGCGUGAAGGAUGACUGCCCUAUGGGUUGUAAACUUCUUUUAUAAAGGAAUAAAGUCGGGUAUGCAUACCCGUUUGCAUGUACUUUAUGAAUAAGGAUCGGCUAACUACGUGCCAGCAGCCGCGGUAAUACGGAGGAUCCGAGCGUUAUCCGGAUUUAUUGGGUUUAAAGGGAGCGUAGAUGGAUGUUUAAGUCAGUUGUGAAAGUUUGCGGCUCAACCGUAAAAUUGCAGUUGAUACUGGAUAUCUUGAGUGCAGUUGAGGCAGGCGGAAUUCGUGGUGUAGCGGUGAAAUGCUUAGAUAUCACGAAGAACUCCGAUUGCGAAGGCAGCCUGCUAAGCUGCAACUGACAUUGAGGCUCGAAAGUGUGGGUAUCAAACAGGAUUAGAUACCCUGGUAGUCCACACGGUAAACGAUGAAUACUCGCUGUUUGCGAUAUACAGCAAGCGGCCAAGCGAAAGCGUUAAGUAUUCCACCUGGGGAGUACGCCGGCAACGGUGAAACUCAAAGGAAUUGACGGGGGCCCGCACAAGCGGAGGAACAUGUGGUUUAAUUCGAUGAUACGCGAGGAACCUUACCCGGGCUUAAAUUGCAGAUGAAUUACGGUGAAAGCCGUAAGCCGCAAGGCAUCUGUGAAGGUGCUGCAUGGUUGUCGUCAGCUCGUGCCGUGAGGUGUCGGCUUAAGUGCCAUAACGAGCGCAACCCUUGUUGUCAGUUACUAACAGGUCAUGCUGAGGACUCUGACAAGACUGCCAUCGUAAGAUGUGAGGAAGGUGGGGAUGACGUCAAAUCAGCACGGCCCUUACGUCCGGGGCUACACACGUGUUACAAUGGGGGGUACAGAGGGCCGCUACCACGCGAGUGGAUGCCAAUCCCAAAAACCUCUCUCAGUUCGGACUGGAGUCUGCAACCCGACUCCACGAAGCUGGAUUCGCUAGUAAUCGCGCAUCAGCCACGGCGCGGUGAAUACGUUCCCGGGCCUUGUACACACCGCCCGUCAAGCCAUGGGAGCCGGGGGUACCUGAAGUGCGUAACCGCGAGGAGCGCCCUAGGGUAAAACUGGUGACUGGGGCU
rnacentral:rRNA from 1 species